AAUCAAGCCCGGAGAUAGCUGGUUCUCCUCGAAAGCUAUUUAGGUAGCGCCUCAUGUCUCACCACCGGGGGUAGAGCACUGUUUCGGCUAGGGGGUCAUCCCGACUUACCAACCCUUUGCAAACUCCGAAUACCAAUGAGAACUAUCCGGGAGACACACGGCGGGUGCUAACGUCCGUCGUGGAGAGGGAAACAACCCAGACCGCCAGCUAAGGUCCC
rnacentral:rRNA from 17 species